ACAAAGUCUAUCAAAAAUGAAUUCUCUUCAUUUUCAUUUGAUUUCAAGGAAUUGUGGUUUUCAAUCCUGGUGAUAAGGAAUCUCCAAGACUUUCUUUAAGAGAUGACGAUGAUAGACUUGUUAACCAUGGAUCCUGUUCAAAAAAAAGAAAAGAAAGAAAGAAAAAGAGUAUUUAAUAUGGCUUUCUUCUGACAAACUUCAAAACUGAAGUGAUCAACACCUUCCUCCUCGUUAGCUAUAAAUGGGCUUAUGAAUGCUGCUAGAA